UACGGAGGGUGCAAGCGUUAUCCGGAUUCACUGGGUUUAAAGGGUGCGUAGGUGGAUUAGUAAGUCAGUGGUGAAAUCUCCGGGCUUAACCCGGAAACUGCCAUUGAUACUAUUAGUCUUGAAUACCGUGGAGGUCAGCGGAAUAUGUCAUGUGGCGGUGAAAUGCUUAGAUAUGACAUAGAACACCAAUUGCGAAGGCAGCUGGCUACACGAGCAUUGACACUCAGGCACGAAAGCGUGGGGAUCAAACAGG
rnacentral:rRNA from 1 species